rnacentral:lncRNA from 1 species
CACAGAAUAAAAUAAAGUUGGCCAGGCAUGGUGACAUGCACCUGUAGUCCUAGAUACUUGGGAGGCUGAGGUGGGAGGAUUGCUUAAGCCUGGCAGGUCGAGACUGCAGGAAACUGAGAUGAUGCCAUUGCACUCCAGCCUGGGUGACAGAGCCAGAUCCUGUCUCAAAUAUAUACAUAAUGGCUUCUUCAUCAUCAGGAAGUAGUUUCUUGGCAUCUAAAGCCAGCCUGAGGUGGGCUGAGGCAAGAAGUCUUUGGAAGCACGCAGCAAACAGUGCCUGGGACAGACCAUCUCCAAGAGGCAGGGGAGGCUGACCUGAGGAGAGAGGGGCCACUGGAGCACCAGAUGGCAGGCUCAAGCCUGCUCAGAAAAGACCCUGAAAAGCCAGACCCAGAAAAGCCCCUGAGGGGACAGAAGGAUAAAAUUAGCCAGCUCUUAUUCUCAAUCAUUUCUGCAGAGCCUUUAGUUCAUUUUGAAUCUCCAUUUAUGGUGGAUUUAGGAUA